rnacentral:lncRNA from 1 species
CCUGGAACAGGAAGCUCUGGGUAAAGCAGUUGUGUCCAGUGAGGAAGGAGAAAGCUUUCCUGUCACAAAAGCUGUACAGCUGAUGAAACCUCUCCACGGUGCUGAGCAGAUGCUAGGAAGAAAAGGAGGACCUGCGUGUUGGUCAUCAGCAUCCAUACAAAAAGCUGGCAGUGGUGGCGCACCAGUGACCCCAGCACUGAAACAUAAAGGUGGAGAAGAAUGGAGGAAGACAUGUCAGCACAGACACAGCCACUCACUCAUCAAUAGGGAGGAGUGAAGAGAAACAAACUAUAGACCUUGCCUAAGGAGGAGGAAGAAGAGGAGUAUAGGGAGGAGGAUGAAGGAGAGAGGAAGGAGGAGCCAGCAGGACAAGAUGGC